rnacentral:lncRNA from 1 species
CUGGGAUCUCUACAUCGUUUAUAUAAGGAAAGGAGCAGGCGAAAAGCCAUACUCGGUAAAGACAAUUUUAUUAAAUGAAGCUAAGACCGAAAUAAAUAAAGCUUGGAGUGACUCCUCGGCUGCCUUGACUACGUUGACUGACUCUUGGACUGCCAGCCGAGAUGACUCUUGGAAUUCUUCAUGAGUUUGGGCCGGGAAAGGAAUGUAAGCCCAUAGCCUCGUU